AUUGAACGCUGGCGGAAUGCUUUACACAUGCAAGUCGAACGGCAGCACGGGGCAACCUGGUGGCGAGUGGCGAACGGGUGAGUAAUACAUCGGAACGUGCCCAAUCGUGGGGGAUAACGUAGCGAAAGUUACGCUAAUACCGCAUACGAUCUACGGAUGAAAGCGGGGGAUCGCAAGACCUCGCGCGAAUGGAGACGCCGAUGCCAGAGUAGGUAGUUGGUGGGGUAAAGGCUCACCAAGCCGACGAUCCGUAGCUGGUCUGAGAGGAGGACCAGACAAACUGGGACUGAGACACGGCCCAGACUCCUACGGGAGGCAACAGUGGGGAAUUUUGGACAAUGGGCGCAAGCCUGAUCCAGCCAUUCCGCGUGCAGGAUGAAGGCCUUCGGGUUGUAAACUGCUUCUGUACGGAACGAAACGGCGAGCUCUAAUACAGUUUGCUAAUGACGGUACCGUAAGAAUAAGCACCGGCUAACUACGUGCCAGCCGCCGCAGUAAGAC
rnacentral:rRNA from 1 species